AUGAACUUUUAGUUGUCCGGAUCCAAAGGCGUCUACUCUGCCAUGCUACAUCAAGACACACUCUAAACCAAUAUGAGAUGCAUCAUAGUAAACUUGGAAUCUCCCAACAUCAUCAGGGUAUAUUAACAUAGGAGCAGAGGUGAGACGACACUUUAAUUCCAUGAAGCUUUCACUACACUCAUAAUUCCAAACGAAGGGUACU
rnacentral:lncRNA from 1 species